CGCUUGAAGUUGGCGCCCGGGAGCGAUGCGGAGCUGAGGAGACACAGGCCGCCGCCAUGUCUGCGGGAUUCUCCUUCGGGGCCGGCACGCUGGGCUCCGCUGCUGGGGCGGGAGGCGGCGGCGGGGGAGGCUUCUCCUUCGGAGCUGUCCAGCCGAGCUCAACCGGAGGUCUUAAUUUUGGAACCUUGGGCUCCUCGACUGCUACAGCAACUACAUCAGCUCCAUCAGUGGGCUUUGGAAGUGGACUGUUUGGUUCAAAAUCUACCACUGGGCUUGCUCUAGGAGGUACUAAUACAGGAACAGCUACAACUAUUGCUACAGGAUUAACACUGGGAGCUCCUGCCGCUACAUCAGCCUCUACCACAGGUUUUAGUCUAGGGUUCAACAAACCUGCAGGAUCGGCCACACCAUUUGCUUUGCCUAUUACUUCUACCUCAGCAAGUGGCCUCUCACUUUCUUCUGCUCUUACGUCAACUCCUGCAGCAGGUUCUACUGGCUUUACAUUAAAUUUGGGUGGGACAGCUGCCCCAACUACAAGUGCAUCCACAGGCCUUUCACUGGGAGGAGCCUUAGCUGGUUUGGGAGGACUCGGACAGAAUGCUCUGAGUUUGACUCUGGGGACGACUUCUGCUCCUUCAACUACUGUUAAUGAAGGUCUUGGUGGCAUAGAUUUUAGUAGUUCUUCAGAUAAAAAGAGUGAUAAAACAGGAACAAGACCAGAAGAUAGUAAAGCACUGAAGGAUGAAAAUCUACCUCUACUAAUCUGUCAAGAUGUAGAAAAUCUCCAGAAAUUUGUGAAAGAACAAAAACAAGUGCAGGAAGAAAUUAGUAGAAUGUCUUCCAAAGCAAUGCUUAAAGUACAGGAAGAUAUUAAAGCUUUGAAACAGCUUUUGUCAGUGGCUGCUAGUGGACUACAGAGAAACACUCUUAAUAUUGACAAAUUGAAAAUGGAAACUGCCCAGGAACUGAAGAAUGCAGAAAUAGCAUUAAGAACACAGAAAACUCCUCCUGGUCUUCAACAUGAAAAUUCAGCCCCAGCAGACUACUUCAGGAUCUUGGUUGAACAGUUUGAAGUACAGCUGCAGCACUACAGACAGCAAAUUGAAGAACUGGAAAAUCAUCUUGCCACUCAAGCAAACAAUUCACAUAUAACUCCACAAGAUUUGUCUAUGGCUAUGCAGAAAAUUUAUCAAACAUUUGUAGCUCUAGCUGCUCAACUUCAAUCAAUACAUGAAAAUGUAAAGAUGCUCAAAGACCAAUACCUUGGCUACAGGAAAACCUUUCUGGGAGAUGCUAUGGAUGUGUUUGAGGCAAGACGAGCAGAAGCUAAGAAAUGGCAGAGUGCCCCACGUGUUAUUACGGGACCAACCCCUUUCAGCAACAUACCAAAUGCAGCAGCCGUUGCCAUGGCUGCCACACUUUCUCAGCAGCAACAGCCUGCUACAGGGCCACAGCCAUCUCUGGGAGUUAGUUUUGGAACGCCAUUCGGCUCAGGUAUUGGCACUGGCUUGCAAUCAAGUGGCUUAGGUUCUUCAAACCUUGGAGGAUUUGGAAGUAGCUCUGCUUUUGGAAGCACUGCCACAGGCGCACCAUCAUUUGGAUUUGGAACUACUAAACCCUCAGGAAGUCUUAGUGCAGGUGCCUGCUGCUUGAACUACAUUAAGCCAAAAAUAAGUUAUUUACCAAUUUUUCAUAUAUUAAUGAUAAGAAUGUCAAGUUCUUCUUUGAAUGAUUGCACAUGUGCAUUCCACCCUAGGAGUGUACGUGCCCCAAGCACAGUUGCUGGAAAUGUUUCCCUCAGUGGUACCCGUUGGGGUGACUCAAGCAUCCUCUGGUGCUGCACGCUUAUAGUGCUGAUAUGAAGUGCCCAGCCAGCCCCAUGCCCUUUCAGUUCCUUCUUACCACCUGUGAUGGUCACUGGGAUUGCUAUCCUUGCUUUGGCAAAUUCUCUGUGGUCUUCUUUUUCUUAUAUUUAUACAUAGUUCAUAGACUCAUAGAAUUGUAGGACUAGAAAGGGUCUGCAGAGGUCUUCUAGUCCAGUCUACUGCACUCAAGGCAGGACUAAGUAUUAUCUAGACCAUCCCUGACAUCCAUUUUCCCCUUCCUAGAUCCCAGGGACUGGUAUGCUGCACUCGAUUAAAGAGACGCCUUUUUACAUAUAUCGAUAUACCAAUAUGUCAUUAGGUUCCUCAGAUUUGUAAUGAACCCUCCCAUUCAGCCUAUCUGCAGCUACACGGAUGUUUACAAAAUGUCUGGCAGCAGUGAUAGCCUUCCUGAGGAGGUUAGGGGUGCAGGUCUAACCUUAUCUAGACUACUGGCUAGUCAAGGCUGGUCCAGGGCUCCAGAAGUGUCCAGCAUUCAGCUUAUGCAGUCAACAUUCAAGGCCCGAAACCUUCUGAUAAAUGAAGAGCAAUCUAUCCUUGCAUUGGUGCAGAGGUUAGAGUUUAUUGGAGUGGUGUUCGACUCUACUCAGGCCAGAGCCAACCUCCCAGAGGGUUGUUUCCAGACAAUCCCAUCCCUGAUGAUUCACCUCAAUGGUCAUCCAGUCACAACAGCCCAAAAUUGUCUGAGACUUUUAGGUCACAUGGCCUUGUGCACAUAUGUGGUACAACAGGCAAGGCUGCACCUCACACCCCUCCAGACAUGGCAGGCCUCAAUGUACUCACCAAACCACUACCAUCUGGACUUCGUACUCAUAGUACCUCAGUGGGUCCUCAUCUCCCUCAAUUGGUGGUUGGAUCUGUUCAUUGUUUGUUUGUACAGGUGUUCCCUUUAUACGACCUUUCGUCUCCGGAGGAAUUUUCAUUCCACAUCAGUACCAGGGAACUCAGAGCAGUUUACCUGGCCUGUCAGACUUUCCUGCCACACGUUAUGGGCAGAAAUUUGUUUGUUCUUAUGGCCGCACCACAGCCAUGUUUUAUCUCAACAGGCAAGGAGGAGCUGGCUCUUCCCUCCUAUGUCAGGAAGCGAUUCAGCUAUGGGAAUUUUGCGCAGGCCACUCAAUCAGUCUUGUGGCCUCAUACCUUCUGGGAACGCAAAAAGACCUGACACAUCACCUCAGCAGGACUUUAUCCAGUCACCACGACUGGUCCUUUUGCCAAGAUGUGGCGAGGGACAUUUUCCAGCAGUGGAGGACUCCUCAGAUAGAUCUGUUUGCAACCUGAUACAACAGAAAGUGUCACUAGUUCUGCUCCCAGUGAGGUCACAGUCCAAGUUUUAUCAUGGAUGCCUUUUUGAUAUCAUGGACAGGACAUCUUUAUUAUGCUUUUCCCUCUAUCCUGCUCAUGCACAGCGUACUGCUAAAGAUGACCCAGGACCAGGUCCGAGUUCUUCUGAUAGCCCCAUCAACACUGAUUCUCCACUCUGCUAGGCCUGUCAGUGAUGACCCAUCCUGCUUCCGUUACACCUGGACCUGAUCUCUAAGGACAGCAAUCGGCUGCUCCCUUCACCUAACAGCCUGAAAGCUCCAUGGCUAAAUCCCAGAGAGCAGACCUGCCCACAGCAAGUUCAUCAGGUCCUAUUAGGUAGUAGAAAGAGCUCCACCAGGGAUACUUACUUUUCAAAGUGGAAGUGGUCCUCUAUCUGGGCAUCCCAAUGCAGGGAUUCACCCACACAGUCAUCCUUACAAGAAAUUCUUGGUUAUCUAUUAUACCUGAAGCAGCAAGACUUAGCUAUUUCCUCUGUCAAGAUUCACCUUGCAGCAAAAUCGGCUUUCUACUAUUGGGUAGAUAACCGGUCAGUGUUUUCAAAUGACAUGUCUGUUUGAUUCCUCAAGGGCCUAGAAAGGUUAUACCCUCAAGUAAGAGAGCUUGUUCUUCCCUGGGACCUGAACUUGAUCUAUCAAAGCUUAUGGGACCACAGUUUGAAUCUUGGGCAACUUGCUGUUUGUUAUACGUCUCCUGGAAGGUGGUUUUCUUAGUGGCCAUCACUUCGGCCAGAAGGGUCUCGGAUCUCCAUGUUCUCACAUCAGAACCUCUGUACACAGUCUCCUUUAAGGAUAAGGUGCAUUUAUGUCCUCAUCCAGUUUCCUCCCAAAAGUGGUUUAGCAAUUUCAUAGCAAUCAGGCAAUCUACCUACCCUACCUGUCUUCUACCCAAAGCCACAUGUAAAUAGGGAGGAACCACAUCUUCACUCAUUGGAUGUUAGAUGCUCUAUGUUGCUUUCUACAUAGAAAGGACUAAACUGUUCCAGUAAUUUACCCAACUGUUUGUAGCUGUAUCUAAUAUGAUGAAAAGUCUCCGAGUCUCAUCACAGACAGUUUCAUCCUGGAUUACCUCAUACAUUCAUACUUGUUAUGACCAGGCAGGUGUUCUCCCACUAGCUUACCUGACUGCUCAUUCCACAUGGUUGCAAGCAUCAGCAACAGCAUUCCAGUCACAGAUCCCUACUCAGGAUAUUUGCAAAGUAGUGACCUGGUCAUCGGUGCACACAUUCUCCUCCCAUUAUACCAUCACUCAAGAGUCCAGGGAUGAUGCCAAAUUUGGUGGAGCUGUCCUGCAGUUAGUAUGUCCAUGAAUUCUGAUCCCUCCACCAUUCAACUGCUUUGGAGUCACCUAGAGUGGAAUGCACAUGUGCAAUCACUCAAAGAAGAAAAAACAGUUAUUAACUUUCUAUAACUGUUGUUCUUCAACAUACAUUGUACAUGUCCAUUCCACGACCCACCCUCCUGCCCUUCUGCAUUGGAGUUUUCCAGAAAGAACAAACUGAGAGGGUGCAGAGUUGGCUGGGCACUUUAUAAUGGCGCUAUAGGUACAUGGCACCAGAGGCAUUCGAGCUGCCGAGGUGGGUACCACUGAGGGAAAACUUCCAGUGAGUGUCCUCGGGGCAUGCACACACAUGGAAUGGGCAUGUGCAACACAUCUCACAAAAGCAACAGUUAACAGAAGGCUUUGGCAGCUCAACUACAUCUGGGUUUAACUUCAGUAAUCCUGGCAUCACAGCAUCGGCUGGCUUGACAUUUGG